GGCCAGACUCCUACGGGAGGCAGCAGUGGGGAAUAUUGGGCAAUGGGCGCAAGCCUGACCCAGCAACGCCGCGUGAAGGAAGAAGGCCCUCGGGUUGUAAACUUCUUUUAUUCGGGACGAAACAAAUGACGGUACCGAAUGAAUAAGCCACGGCUAACUACGUGCCAGCAGCCGCGGUAAUACGUAGGUGGCAAGCGUUGUCCGGAUUUACUGGGUGUAAAGGGCGUGCAGCCGGGCUGACAAGUCAGAUGUGAAAUCCCGCGGCUCAACCGCGGAACUGCAUUUGAAACUGUCAGUCUUGAGUACCGGAGAGGUCAUCGGAAUUCCUUGUGUAGCGGUGAAAU
rnacentral:rRNA from 1 species